rfam:Danio rerio unplaced genomic contig CTG6325, GRCz11 reference primary assembly.
GCUGUGAUUGUGUAGUGGUUAGUACUCUGCGUUGUAGCUGCAGCAACACGGUUCGAAUCCCGGUCACGGCA